ensembl:lncRNA
AUUAGUCCCGCCUUCCAAGCAUCGGACCAUGAGCACGCAUUAGCUAGGUCUUUCACACGCAAAUGAGAGAGGCUGCAGAUGGUCCGGGCGGAAUUAUUGCUCGAUUUGACACCAGGCCCGACGAAUGGGACGUCGUUCAUUAGGCCGGCGGUCAUACCACCACCAUUAAAAAAGGCCGACCCGGUCGCCCGGUACCAGUGGUACCGUGAAAAGUGGACCCGCCAGCCGCCACCUGGGGAGGCCGACCACCGUGUCCUCCGGUGGGAGAUCCGGAUAUGUGUGGGACGGCUAGCCCAAGGUCUGAUCCCACAGACACCAGGCCCGACGAAUGGGACGUCGUUAAUUCGGCCAGCUGCAAUCCCCCACCCCUUGCCAAAGGCCGACCCGGUCGCCCGGUACCAGUGGUACCGGGAAAUAUGGAGGCGGCAGCUCCCACCCGGGGGAGGCGGACCGCCGUGUCCUUGGGUGGCAUAUCCGGGACCAAUUGGCCCGGGGUAUAGUCCCAUAAGGAUUUCUCCAGAAAACGGCAAGAAAAAACCCGCCAAAGUAAGUACCCAUGCAGUAGUAGCACCCAGAUUUUCAGUAUAAUGGUAUUUUGCAUUGCAUUGCUGUUCUGAUGCAGUUUUCUGUCUUCAUUUAUGUUGGAAGUGAUAAGUAGAGCCGUACGGCAAGCCCAAGGUCUGAUCCCAAUAAGUAUUUCCCCGGGUUUUUUAGUUUCCACCAGAUAAUUUUGUUACACGUUUACAGAACCUUGUUCUAUAUUAAUAUAAUCAUAAUAUAAUAUGAGUACAUGGGAAUACUAACUAUUAACUGUUCACUGUCUUUAUUAUAGACAGUGUACAGCUGGUAUUGUAUAUUUACUGUGAACAUGUUAAAAUAGUAAAACAACAACAGAGAAAAGAGACAAAAUGCAAGGAAAACAAAAUAAUAAUUAUAAAUAACUCAAAAGUUCAAAAAGGAGUAGGAAGAAGCAUAAUCAUGUUUAAUCCCGCCCCCUUUUCAAUAUUUAAUAACACUUUUUCUUCCAGUUUAGGCCCUAUCCAUCAUAAACUCUUCCUUACAAUUUGUUACAUGUUUGCUUUUAUUACCCCAGUAACACCUAAAACCAUAUACAAAUUUACAGCUAUAUAUACUUAUAUAAACAUAUUUGUGUUUAUAUAACACAAAUAUGUUGAUAUAACAACAGGGGACUGUUGUUGUGAUUUGGUGCUAUAUUAUAGCUAUAUGAUGAUGAUAAUAAUAAUAAUAAUAAUAAUAAAACUGAUUUGAAUUCAGUAGUUUAUUGAAAUUAGCCUUCACAUUUUCUUCUUUUAAUAACUGUUGAAGAAGUUGUGUCUAUUUUUUCUUUCUUUGUGGGGGAAGCAGACUCCAGGCCUGACGAAUGGGACGUCGUGUAAGUCAACAAUAAACCACAACACCAAUAUAAAGAUUUUUCUCUCUACAAACUUUAGAUGAUCUCUCACAUGAAUUUUGUACAGUGAUGAGUUCUUAAGUCUCAAGCGAGUAAACUGAAUCUGAACCCUGUCUCCUCUCGUUACAGUGACUCAGAGACCUGCUUCCCUGGCCUGACUCCUCCUUUGUAUAUAGUUUUUUAUAGUUGUGUUAUUUCUGUUUUUAAAUAAAGUUUUUUUCACAUUUACCAAUGCCUCUGUUUGUAUUUGCAAUUGAAUCCGUUUAUCUGGUUUGGCCUUCAGCCUUGACAUCUCAUACAAAUAGUUCUCCAGGCUUUUUACUGGACUUGGCUGCUUUUUCACUUGUUUCCAC